CUCUUGCCUUCUGCCAUGUAAGAUAUGACUGUGCUCCUCCUUCACCUUCUGCCAUGAUUGUGAGGCCUCCACAGCCAUGUGGAACUCCAUGAGUAUGACUAUGUGCUGAGUCCUGUGAGUCCUCCUACUGAAUCAUCAAAGCCAGGGGGGAAGCUGUUUUUCCCUCUUUGGGGUCUCAGAGAGAUUGGUGGCAAGGACUCCUGGGAAGAGAAAAGCUGAAGGACACUCUGGCAAGAGAUGGAGACAGAAACUUGACUGGGCUCAGGAAUAUGUGUUUUUAAAAUUCUCCAGAAGAUUUUAAUGCAGUACAAGUAAGAAGACAGGACUGCAAUUCACAAGAACAGUAUAUCCUGGUGAUUCCUCAGAACAGAACAGACUCAAAAAAAAAAAAAAAAGAAGAAGACAAAAACAAAGAUAACAUGAAACCAGAUUCCACAACCAUGUUUCAAGUGACCUAUGUGAGUCAGGCCCAUGAGACACAUACUACACCAGUUUCAGUGAAGCCUCACAAAAUUUAGGGGGGUAGAGGAAAGGGUCCUAUGCCCAUUUCAUAGAUGAACAAACUAAGGACUUAAUAGAUUUCAACAAUUUGUUCAAAGUCUCUACCUUAAAGGAUUUUGGGGUUCUGGUUUUUGUUUUUACCUGCCCUGGUAACUCUUCUAAGAAUGAGCCAAGAAGAAGACAACCUUCUAAGAUACUUUUCCUGCCCUCCAAGGGCUGUGGAGAAUCUGAUAGGGUUGGAGCUGCCCUCUCCUCUUCCCAGAGACACUGCCCCACAAUCCCAUCAAGUCUGACUGGUACCAACGACUCCAGGGGGCCUCUGCCUUCAGAACUGUAUAGGCCUGUGUGGGCACCAGUCUUUACAUCCAUGUUCCCUCUCCCUCGAGGACCCAGGUUGACCUGUCCAAGAGCUCUCUCAUCAUGCUGAAUUUUGGUGACAGCAUAGGGUGAGCCUGUGGAUUCUACAGCUCAGCAAACCUCCAGCCAAGUAGUUUCCCUUCAUAUGGUUCCCCAGUCUUUACAUGUGGCAUCCAAGAAGGGAAAGUAUCCCCUCUCCCUUGAUGAGAUGUCAGCCCCUCACCACACAUGGCCUGGGUGCUAGGAGGACCCAUACGGGCUAGGGAGGGGCCACUGGGAGGGGAAUGUGUAGGGGGCAGACCCCAUCUAGCUGCUUCUUGAUGAGCCUGGCAUGGAGUGUUUGAUCCAAAUCUUGACAGCACAUUGGUGGCUGUUGUCACUGUGUGGCAGGACUUGCAGUUGAGCUUCUUGUGCCUUGGACUUCUUGUGACUUGGACCUCAGCCUCCAUUGAAGACCGUAACACAAGUCCCAACUUACAAACAAAUGAGGGAAUGAAUGAGCUUUGGCAUUGGAAAAACCUGGGUUCAAAUCCUGGCUACUCUACUUCCUGUGUCAGUUGCUUCACUUUUCUAAAUAUAAAUUGUGUUCCUUCUGUUUUGGCUUCUAGGAAACCCCGAGCCAAACGUAUGGCCACCUCUGACCACUCGACCAGCCCAGCAUGGUGUACAUUUCUGGGUAGCUUAUCACGCCUUCCAAGCAUUGCCUUUAUCUUCCUUCUCCCCAUCAAGCCUGUAUUGUUUUCCUUUUGAAUCAUAAGCACUUUUGUUAAAUACCUCAAAUCUUUCGAGAACAGCAAGGAGCAAAAUAAACUUAACUUCUCUGAGACCAUGU
rnacentral:lncRNA from 10 species